GUGGACCACCAAGGACUUAAGGGUCUUCACCUCUUUGCAUGUGGUCAAGACAUGAUGCUGUGGACAACCGUUGAUGAUGCCCAGAUCACCAGAGUUUGGUACAACAAAGCACAAGUCUCAGAGAGCCAGUGGUUCCAAGUGGACCAGAAGAUUGUAGACUUAAAAGUGUAUAGUGUCCUUAGUCAACAGGGGUAACAACAGCUGCUCAAGAGACAAUGGAGGAUGCAGUCAUAUCUGUCUACCGAAUCCCGAGGGCAAGACUUGCUGGUGUCCCAAUGGGUACUGCUUGGUUGAUGGCCACACAUGCGUGGAAGCUGUCCAGUGCUCUCCAAUGUCACAAUGCUGUAAGGACGGUCAGAGGUGCAUUUCCAAGGAGCAAAUUUGUGAUGGUCACGUUGACUGUCUGGAUGGUUCUGAUGAAG
rnacentral:lncRNA from 1 species